UUUUGAUAAAAUAUUUUUGGUGAACAAUACAAUGUAUGCAUAAGUUGCUUAUUGUUGUACAGUUAAUAAUUUAAGGAACUAUUUUAAGUUUAACUUCGCUUAAAUGUUAAACUGUAAGAUGUAUACUAGAGGUGGACGAAAUUUCGAUAGAUAGGUUUACGGAAAAUAUAAGCUAUCAUUAUCGCCUUAAAAUCGGUGGCAACCCAUCACUUACAGAAAGAACGUGCAUUUCGUAAAGUUUCUUGAAAGUGCAAGUGCAAGUGAAAAGUUUUGAAGACAAUUAAAUCUGCAAUUUUUAAAACGGAUUUAAACAAGAUAUUUUCUUGGUCGUCACCAAUUCACAUCCAUACACACAUACAUAUACAAAUGAGCAGAUAGGACAAAGAAAAAAAAUUUUCCUGGGAUAGAACCAAUGCGCAUUUACAAUACAAAGAGUGCGCAAGUGGUUAUUUAUGUGUAGAUGUUGAGUUAAAAUAUCCAGACGUAGAACUCAGUUUGGAAAAUAAGUGGAUCACAUUCCGAACAAAGUUUAAACUGUUGGAUCAAGAAAGGGUAAAGGAGCAUUACAGCCUGGAUAUUUAAACAAAUUAAAAUAUGAUGAUACA